rnacentral:rRNA from 1 species
UCCGGAAAAUCAAGGCUGAGGCGUGAUGACGAGGCACUACGGUGCUGAAGCAACAAAUGCCCUGCUUCCAGGAAAAGCCUCUAAGCAUCAGGUAACAUCAAAUCGUACCCCAAACCGACACAGGUGGUCAGGUAGAGAAUACCAAGGCGCUUGAGAGAACUCGGGUGAAGGAACUAGGCAAAAUGGUGCCGUAACUUCGGGAGAAGGCACGCUGAUAUGUAGGUGAAGUCCCUCGCGGAUGGAGCUGAAAUCAGUCGAAGAUACCAGCUGGCUGCAACUGUUUAUUAAAAACACAGCACUGUGCAAACACGAAAGUGGACGUAUACGGUGUGACGCCUGCCCGGUGCCGGAAGGUUAAUUGAUGGGGUCAGCGCAAGCGAAGCUCUUGAUCGAAGCCCCGGUAAACGGCGGCCGUAACUAUAACGGUCCUAAGGUAGCGAAAUUCCUUGUCGGGUAAGUUCCGACCUGCACGAAUGGCGUAAUGAUGGCCAGGCUGUCUCCACCCGAGACUCAGUGAAAUUGAACUCGCUGUGAAGAUGCAGUGUACCCGCGGCAAGACGGAAAGACCCCGUGAACCUUUACUAUAGCUUGACACUGAACAUUGAGCCUUGAUGUGUAGGAUAGGUGGGAGGCUUUGAAGUGUGGACGCCAGUCUGCAUGGAGCCGGCCUUGAAAUACCACCCUUUAAUGUUUGAUGUUCUAACGUUGACCCGUUAUCCGGGUUGCGGACAGUGUCUGGUGGGUAGUUUGACUGGGGCGGUCUCCUCCUAAAGAGUAACGGAGGAGCACGAAGGUUGGCUAAUCCUGGUCGGACAUCAGGAGGUUAGUGCAAUGGCAUAAGCCAGCUUGACUGCGAGCGUGACGGCGCGAGCAGGUGCGAAAGCAGGUCAUAGUGAUCCGGUGGUUCUGAAUGGAAGGGCCAUCGCUCAACGGAUAAAAGGUACUCCGGGGAUAACAGGCUGAUACCGCCCAAGAGUUCAUAUCGACGGCGGUGUUUGGCACCUCGAUGUCGGCUCAUCACAUCCUGGGGCUGAAGUAGGUCCCAAGGGUAUGGCUGUUCGCCAUUUAAAGUGGUACGCGAGCUGGGUUUAGAACGUCGUGAGACAGUUCGGUCCCUAUCUGCCGUGGGCGCUGGAGAACUGAGGGGGGCUGCUCCUAGUACGAGAGGACCGGAGUGGACGCAUCACUGGUGUUCGGGUUGUCAUGCCAAUGGCACUGCCCGGUAGCUAAAUGCGGAAGAGAUAAGUGCUGAAAGCAUCUAAGCACGAAACUUGCCCCGAGAUGAGUUCUCCCUGACUCCUUGAGAGUCCUGAAGGAACGUUGAAGACGACGACGUUGAUAGGCCGGGUGUGUAAGCGCAGCGAUGCGUUGAGCUAACCGGUACUAAUGAACCGUGAGG